rnacentral:lncRNA from 1 species
AAACCUCUUACAACUAUGGCUGAAAAUGCGGUCUUAGUUUACCUUUCAAAUGACAGUGAGAAAAUGGAACCACACAAAUUACUUCAACAAAUACAGAAAGCUAUUAAUUUAAAAGAAAUUAAAGUUGGAAUUAAAAAAAGAAUACUGGAUCUGACCGGUUUAGUAGUCAACUGCUGCACCCAGGAGAGAGCAGAAACACUAAAAACAACCCUUAAGGCGCUUGCGCACACACUGGCUUUCCCCGAUCCUGUUCCAACACCGGAUGCAAUGUAAAUAAGUGAAGGUUUUGAACACACAGCCG